rnacentral:rRNA from 1 species
AGAGUUUGAUCCUGGCUCAGGACGAACGCUGGCGGCGUGCCUAACACAUGCAAGUUGAGCGAAGUGAUUACAGAUGAAAUUUUCGGAUGGAAUCUGUAAUCAUCUUAGCGGCGGACGGGUGAGUAACGCGUGAGAAACCUGCCUUUCACAAAGGGAUAGCCUCUGGAAACGGGGAUUAAUACCUUAUGACACUUUAACCUCACAUGAGGACUAAGUUAAAGCGUAAAGCGGUGGAAGAUGGUCUCGCGUCCUAUUAGCUAGUUGGUGAGGUAACUGCUCACCAAGGCUACGAUAGGUAGCCGGCCUGAGAGGGUGAACGGCCACACUGGAACUGAGACACGGUCCAGACUCCUACGGGAGGCAGCAGUGGGGAAUAUUGCACAAUGGAGGAAACUCUGAUGCAGCGACGUCGCGUGAAUGAUGAAGGCCUUCGGGUCGUAAAAUUCUGUCCUUGGGGAAGAUAAUGACGGUACCCAAGGAGGAAGCCCCGGCUAACUACGUGCCAGCAGCCGCGGUAAUACGUAGGGGGCGAGCGUUGUCCGGAAUUAUUGGGCGUAAAGGGUUCGCAGGCGGUCUGAUAAGUCAGAUGUGAAAGACUAUGGCUCAACCAUGGCAAGCAUUUGAAACUGUUAGACUUGAGUUAAGGAGAGGAAAGCAGAAUUCCUAGUGUAGCGGUGAAAUGCGUAGAUAUUAGGAGGAACACCAGUGGCGAAGGCGGUUUACUGGGCCACAUCUGACGCUGAUGUACGAAAGCGUGGAAAGAAACAGGAUUAGAUACCCUGGUAGUCCACGCCGUUAGUGAGGAGUGCUAAGUAUCGGUAGAUUCGGUGGUUAAGCUAACGCAGUAAGCACUCCGCCUGGGGAGUACGGUCGCAAGACUGAAACUCAAAGGAAUUGACGGGGACUCGCACAAGCGGUGGAGCGUGCGGUUUAAUUCGAUGCAACGCGAAGAACCUUACCAGGUCUUGACAGUGUAAAGAAUACUUAAGAGAUUAAGGGCUAAGAAUUAAGCUUGCUUAUUUCUCUUUAUAAACAGGUGGUGCAUGGUUGUCGUCAGCUCGUGUCGUGAGAUGUUGGGUUAAGUCCCGCAACGAGCGCAACCCCUAUUGCUAGUUGCCAUCAUUAAGUUGGGCACUCUAGCAAGACUGCCGGUGACAAAUCGGAUGAAGGUGGGGAGGACGUCAAAUCAUCAUGCCCCCUAUGACCUGGGCUACACGCGUGCUACAAUGGCUAAUACAAAGAGUUGCAAAACCGUGAGGUAGAGCUAAUCUCAUAAAGUUAGUCUCAGUUCGGAUUGUAGUCUGCAACUCGACUACAUGAAGUUGGAAUCGCUAGUAAUCGUAAAUCAGAAUGUUACGGUGAAUAAAGUCUCGAGUCUUGUACACACCGCC